rfam:Myotis davidii contig89846, whole genome shotgun sequence.
GGCAGUACUCAGGUGAUGCACCCGGAAUCAGGCUCCUUACUCUCUGGUUCCGGGUGUGUCACCCAAGAACUGCA